GCUGUGGGCGUAGGAAAUUUGAGAGGAGCUGUCCUUAGUACGAGAGGACCGGGAUGGACUCACCUCUGGUGGACCUGUUGUGGCGCCAGCCGCAGUGCAGGGUAGCUAUGUACGGACGGGAUAACCGCUGAAGGCAUCUAAGCGGGAAACCCACCUCGAAACCAGUGCUCCCUAUGAGAGCCGUGAUAGACCAUCACGUCGAUAGGCCGGAUGUGGACGCGCAGCAAUGCGUUAAGCUAACCGGUACUAAUCGCUCCAUCGGCUUGAUCUCAU
rnacentral:rRNA from 1 species